GCGUCUUUAGUUCAGUUGGUAGAACGUUGGUCUCCAAAACCAAAUGUCGUGGGUUCAAGUCCUACAAGGCGUG
rnacentral:tRNA from 1 species